UGCCAGCCGCCGCGGUAAUACGAAGGGGGCUAGCGUUGUUCGGAAUUACUGGGCGUAAAGCGCGUGUAGGCGGUUCGUUAAGUCUGAUGUGAAAGCCCGGGGCUCAACCCCGGAAGUGCAUUGGAAACUGGCGAACUUGAGUACGGGAGAGGAAAGUGGAACUCCAGGUGUAGCGGUGAAAUGCGUAGAUAUCUGGAGGAACGCCGGUGGCGAAGGCGACUUGCUGGUCCGCAACUGACGCUGAGACGCGAAAGCUAGGGGAGCGAACGGGAUUAGAUA
rnacentral:rRNA from 1 species